rnacentral:lncRNA from 1 species
UCCAAUCCAAAUUAAUUUUAACGCUAAAUAAUUGGCACAUCAAACACAGUAAAAUACAAUUUUACACCACAUUAAAUGGCUAUAUUAAGACAUUUCAUUACUGUAAUCCAAUAUUAAACUAAAAAUUCAAGCCAUUUAUUGUUAUUGCUAACAGUAUAAUAAAUGAGAAUUGCAGCUUCUUGAUGUUAUAAUAUAAAGAGAUACUUGAACCUUCAGUUGCAAAAAAGAGAUACUAAACCAUUAUUGAUGAUAAUAGCAAAACAGAAAUGGAAAACCAUUUGGUGAUGAACUAAACGCCAGAUCUAGAUCUCCAUUUGGUGAUCUACAUACAAUAG